CAGAUCCAACAUCCAUCCAAACACAAGCACACGGGAUGUUGCGGUUGAACCACCACGGGUCGAGAUCCCGUCGUCCCCCGGCGCGCCGGCGCCCUCGGAGUACGUGCUCCUCCGCCUACCCCGCGCGUACCUCCACCUCAUCGAUCGCCGGCGCAGCCUCCCGGUCACCGUCGUCAAGCUCGACCCUGCCACUACUCCUUCUCCCUCACCGUCCCCGCCUCCCCCGACGUGCGUGCAUGCGUGCGUGCGGGUCUCCUGCUGCUGCCAACUGAGACUGGCCGUGGAUGAGGAGGGGAGACGGCGACGACAAGAAGAUAACCAAAUCAAUGUUAGGUGAACAUGUCUGUUCCCUUGUAUUCAUGAAGAUCACGAGAAUUGAAACCCCAUGAACGGAUAAUCAAGACUGAAUUUUAUAACGAGUCGUAGUUUUUCUAAGAAAGAACAAAGGAUGCAUGUUGUCAAUCACAAAGCUGCAGAAUAGCACGGUCAUAACAUGGAUGCAUUAGUAUAUUUGGUCUGUGGAGAUGCAUAUAGUCUCUGCCUCUUAUCUCGUGGAGGUAGUUAUUCUUACAAGGGUGAGCAUGAAGCAUGGAUCUAUGCGUUGUGAUUCUCCUAUUCUGCAUCUUCCAGUUUAUCCAUGGCCAGCCUGAUGACCUAGUAUCAACCAACAACGGUUCCUCCUGGAGCUCAACCCUGGGGUACAGUCCCAGGUCAGGGCGCUCCUCUUGUGUCACCAAUGGUGCAGCCUGGGCAUCAGCCUCUCUCAGCUUCAGUGCCCUCGUGAGUUCAACUGAACCUAGCUCUGCAGAUUGGCAAAAACACAGUUCAGGGGAUGGAUGGAUAAGCUUUAAAUGCACGCCCGACAAAAGAUGAGUUAAGUACGAGCAUUGACGUGGUGUAGUAACUGAUCUCAAUUGUUUUGUCGCCUUUUUGAGCAACCAUGCUCGUUAGAUAUUAAUCUAUACUUAUACUAAUUACAGGCUUUCAAGAAAUUCCCAGGUAAAUUAGUAAAUAUGAGCGGUUAAUCUGGUAGGUCCAAAUUAUAACGGUGUAGAUUAGUUCGUUAAAAAUCCUGUGCCGUGAGGUUUUUUGUACUAUUUUCAUAGAGUUAUUUGCACGGACACAUCCAAGAUUUAAAAACAAUUUGCAUGCAAGUGUUUUGUCUUAUUAUAUCACCAAACAUCUUAUCUUACUUUAAAAAAAAGGCCCAUCGAGGCUCAUGUCUUCAUGUCAUCUGUUCUCAAUAAAUCACCAUACCUAAAAGAAACUCCAUCAAUCGCUGAUUAGAUCUGGAGUAUAACUACCUUGCGUCCUGUGAGCAUCCUACCUAACACGUUCCUCAGCCAACGGCCGCCGCCGCCGCUCGAGAUGUCUUUAUUGGAUCCGCCACCCCUUACUCUCGGCUCCUUCUCCCUCCCUCUACACAGGUUCCUUUCUCUCCUGCUAGCAUCUAGCUUCUAUGGUCUCCAAGUUGUUGCCAUCCCUAAUACGAAGCUCAUGCGAUCAUCUAGCUUCUGUGGUCUGCUGCCUAUCAUCAUGGAUAAUCUCCAUAAGAUAUUGCAGGAGUUUAUAUCCAGGCUAAUCUCCAUAGGAGGGUGAUUUUGGUAAUCGUUCUGUUAACAUUCAGUAUAUUAUGGCACACUCUACACAAGCAAGAUGCAUGAUUUCUUCACUUGAUGUUGAUGGCUAUGGCCACGAAUACGUGUUCUCUUACUGCUACGUCUAAGUCCGGUUGCUCGAUCAAAUUGCUGAAUUUUAGACUCCAUGCUUCGUUUCUUACGUCCCAAUUUGUACUAUACUUUAAUACCUCUGGAGUAUGUAUAAUUUGUAUUUGUAUUUGUUACAUAAGGUUAUGCCCUUCUAUAAUGCUGAAUUUGUUACAUAAGGUUAUGUAUUUGUAUACUUUGUAUUUGUUACAUAAGGUUAUGCCCUUCUAUGUAUACUUUGUAUUUGUAUUUGUAUAGUUUGUAUUUGUUACAUAAGGUUAUGCCCUUCUAUAAUGCUGAAUUUCUCAUCGUGGGUUCCUUUCCUGCAGCUUUUAAUGAUAUCUUAGUGCGGGGUCUGAAGUUGAUUGAGAGACCACUCCUAUCUCAUGUUUGUGCUUCUCCGUAAUAGGUUUACCUUCUCUGGGUAUUUAAUUGUCCGUUGCUGACAGGGAGUGGAGCUGCUGAGAUUUCCUCUGGCCAAUCCUCUUGGAGAAGCAGUAGUGGAAGGAAGGAUGAAGUCUACACUCUAUACAUGUUUUUGUCUACCCCCAAUGCCUCCAAAGCUCGGGCUAUGCUACUGAAUGGCGCAGUUAGGAAGGGGGAGCGCCUGGUUCCUGCUGGAACAUUGGAUCUCUUUAUGAGAUGCACAUUUCCCGUGCCUAAUGCAUCUCCGAGCCCUUCGGUCCUUCCCGUCGAGUUGCACCUCAUAGUUCACCAUUGGAAUCCAUGCUUUGUUUUUGUCGCUCUCAGGUUGCAUAUCAUGCCAAAUUGUCUCUGGCCUACUCGCUCGUUGUUUGUUGUCUCAUUUGUCUCUCGCUAUGGAAAAAAUAUAAGAGUGUUUAUAUAGUACCCUGUUUUAGCAUUAUUGAUGAAUUGUAUUCGCAGACUAAUAUGAUGAAUUGUAUUAGGAGACUAAUAUGAUGAAUUGUAUUCGGAGACUAA